UUUCUUUGCUGGCGACCGGCGCACGGGUGAGUAACACGUAUCCAACCUGCCCUUUACUCGGGGAUAGCCUUUCGAAAGAAAGAUUAAUACCCGAUAGUAUAAUGAUUCCGCAUGGUUUCAUUAUUAAAGGAUUCCGGUAAAGGAUGGGGAUGCGUUCCAUUAGGUUGUUGGUGAGGUAACGGCUCACCAAGCCUUCGAUGGAUAGGGGUUCUGAGAGGAAGGUCCCCCACAUUGGAACUGAGACACGGUCCAA
rnacentral:rRNA from 1 species